AAACAUACGCCAAGGAGGUUAUGUUUUUGACUCAGUUUGUCUGUACGUCUGUUUGUUCCUUCCUUUUUCUGUCUGUCAACAGAAUUACUGAAAAUGUACUGGCCCCAUUUUCAUGAAACCUGGUGAAAGGGUGUAGAUUGGCCCUAGGAAGAAACCAUUACAUUUUGGAGCGGAUCCGAACUACGGUUUUCUAACAACAGAGGAGAGGCAUCUUUAAAGACGACGUCCGUCUUCAUUAGAGAUGAGAGGAGCAGCUAUGAGUUUAACUGCAGCAGCGAGUGGAUUUGUUGUCUUCCUUCUCUCUGUGUCAGGUACUGUAUAUCUACAGUUACAUUCAUUCUUUAAAAGAGGGAUUCUGGGAAAAUGUGGGACUGAAGGUCAUUAUGUGGAAAUAAGUGGAUCAGAGUUGUGUGAAAGGCAAACUUCCAGAAAUGCUACAAAUAGUAGUUUUGUUUACAAUUGUGGAA